rnacentral:rRNA from 1 species
GACGAAGGGGGCUAGCGUUGUUCGGAAUUACUGGGCGUAAAGCGCGUGUAGGCGGUUGUUCAAGUCAGGUGUGAAAGCCUUGAGCUCAACUCAAGAAAUGCACUUGAUACUGGAUGACUAGAGGACCGGAGAGGAUAGUGGAAUUCCCAGUGUAGUGGUGAAAUACGUAGAGAUCGGGAGGAACACCCGGGGGGAAGGCAGUCGACUGGGCAGCACCUGACGCUGAGGUGCGAAAGCGUGGGGAGCGAACAGG